rnacentral:rRNA from 1 species
ACUCCUACGGGAGGCAGCAGUGGGGAAUAUUGCACAAUGGGGGAAACCCUGAUGCAGCCAUGCCGCGUGUGUGAAGAAGGCCUUCGGGUUGUAAAGCACUUUCAGUAGGGAGGAAGGUAGUGUAGUUAACACCUGCACUAUUUGACGUUACCUACAGAAGAAGCACCGGCUAACUCCGUGCCAGCAGCCGCGGUAAUACGGAGGGUGCGAGCGUUAAUCGGAAUUACUGGGCGUAAAGCGCAUGCAGGCGGCCUGUUAAGUCAGAUGUGAAAGCCCGGGGCUUAACCUCGGAAUUGCAUUUGAAACUGGCAGGCUAGAGUCUUGUAGAGGGGUUAGAAUUUCAGGUGUAGCGGUGAAAUGCGUAGAGAUCUGAAGGAAUACCAGUGGCGAAGCGGCCCCCUGGACAAAGACUGACGCUCAGAUGCGAAAGCGUGGGAGCAAACAGGAUUAGAUACCCCUGGUAGACUGUCA